GCGGCGCGCCUAAUGCAUGCAAGUCGAACGAGGUCUGCCCUUCGGGUAUUCUUAGUGGCAGACGGCUGAGUAACGCGUAAGUAACCUGCCCGAAAGAGGGGGAUAACUCAAGGAAACUUGAGCUAAUACCGCAUAUUGUCCACGGCUGAAAUGCCAUGGAUGAGAGGUCUGGGAGACCAAUUUCCGCUUUCGGAUGGGCUUGCGUCCUAUCAGGUAGUUGGUGAGGUAAAGGCUCACCAAGCCAAUGACGGGUAGCUGAUGUGUGAGCAUGAACAGCCAGAGGGGGAUUGAGAUACGGCCCUCACUCCUACGGGAGGCAGCAGCAGGGAAUCUUCCACAAUGGGCGAAACCGUGAUGGAGCGACGUCGCGUGAAGGACGAAGGCCUUCGGGUUGUAAACUUCUUUUAUCAGGAAAGAGAACGGACGGUACCUGAUGAAUAAGUCACGGCUAACUACGUGCCAGCAGCCGCGGUAAUACGUAGGUGGCAAGCGUUGUCCGGAAUUACUGGGCGUAAAGGGUCCGUAGGCGGUUUGGUAAGUUUUGUGUGAAAACUCCGAGCUCAACUUGGAGAGGUCAUGAAAUACUGCCAAACUUGAGAAUGGUAGAGGUGAGUGGAAUUCCCGGUGUAGCGGUGGAAUGCAUAGAUAUCGGGAGGAACACCAGUGGCGAAAGCGGCUCACUGGACCAUUUCUGACGCUGAGGGACGAAAGCGUGGGGAGCGAAUCGGAUUAGAUACCCGAGUAGUCCACGCCUUAAACGAUGGAUGCUAGAUCUUGGGAGAGUCAUACCUCAUAGGGUCGAAGCUAACGCGUUAAGCAUCCCGCCUGGGGAGUACGGUCGCAAGAUUAAAACUCAAAGGAAUUGACGGGGGCCCGCACAAGCAACGGAGCGUGUGGUUUAAUUCGAUGCUAAGCGAAAAACCUUACCUAGUCUUGACAUGUAGAUAGUAUUGAACCGAAAGGGGAUAGACCCGCAAGRGRKUCUACACAGGUGUUGCAUGGUUGUCGUCAGCUCGUGCCGUGAGGUCUUGGGUUAAGUCCCGCAACGAGCGCAACCCCUAUCUUUAGUUAUUUUCUCUAGAGAAACUGCCCUUAAACGGGAGGAAGGAGGGGACGACGUCAAAUCAUCAUGGCUCUUACGACUAGGGCCACUCACACGCUACAAUGUCGCGUACAAACGGUUGCCAAGCCGCGAGGCGGAGCUAAUCCGAUAAAACGCGACUCAGUGGGGAUUGCAGGCUGAAACUCGCCUGCAUGAACGUGGAGUUGCUAGUAACCGCAGGUCAGAAUCAUGCGGUGAAUACGUU
rnacentral:rRNA from 1 species